rnacentral:rRNA from 1 species
GAUGAACGCUGGCGGCGUGCCUAAUACAUGCAAGUCGAGCGAACGGACGAGAAGCUUGCUUCUCUGAUGUUAGCGGCGGACGGGUGAGUAACACGUGGAUAACCUACCUAUAAGACUGGGAUAACUUCGGGAAACCGGAGCUAAUACCGGAUAAUAUUUUGAACCGCAUGGUUCAAAAGUGAAAGACGGUCUUGCUGUCACUUAUAGAUGGAUCCGCGCUGCAUUAGCUAGUUGGUAAGGUAACGGCUUACCAAGGCAACGAUGCAUAGCCGACCUGAGAGGGUGAUCGGCCACACUGGAACUGAGACACGGUCCAGACUCCUACGGGAGGCAGCAGUAGGGAAUCUUCCGCAAUGGGCGAAAGCCUGACGGAGCAACGCCGCGUGAGUGAUGAAGGUCUUCGGAUCGUAAAACUCUGUUAUUAGGGAAGAACAUAUGUGUAAGUAACUGUGCACAUCUUGACGGUACCUAAUCAGAAAGCCACGGCUAACUACGUGCCAGCAGCCGCGGUAAUACGUAGGUGGCAAGCGUUAUCCGGAAUUAUUGGGCGUAAAGCGCGCGUAGGCGGUUUUUUAAGUCUGAUGUGAAAGCCCACGGCUCAACCGUGGAGGGUCAUUGGAAACUGGAAAACUUGAGUGCAGAAGAGGAAAGUGGAAUUCCAUGUGUAGCGGUGAAAUGCGCAGAGAUAUGGAGGAACACCAGUGGCGAAGGCGACUUUCUGGUCUGUAACUGACGCUGAUGUGCGAAAGCGUGGGGAUCAAACAGGGUUAGAUACCCUGGUAGUCCACGCCGUAAACGAUGAGUGCUAAGUGUUAGGGGGUUUCCGCCCCUUAGUGCUGCAGCUAACGCAUUAAGCACUCCGCCUGGGGAGUACGACCGCAAGGUUGAAACUCAAAGGAAUUGACGGGGACCCGCACAAGCGGUGGAGCAUGUGGUUUAAUUCGAAGCAACGCGAAGAACCUUACCAAAUCUUGACAUCCUCUGACCCCUCUAGAGAUAGAGUUUUCCCCUUCGGGGGACAGAGUGACAGGUGGUGCAUGGUUGUCGUCAGCUCGUGUCGUGAGAUGUUGGGUUAAGUCCCGCAACGAGCGCAACCCUUAAGCUUAGUUGCCAUCAUUAAGUUGGGCACUCUAAGUUGACUGCCGGUGACAAACCGGAGGAAGGUGGGGAUGACGUCAAAUCAUCAUGCCCCUUAUGAUUUGGGCUACACACGUGCUACAAUGGACAAUACAAAGGGCAGCGAAACCGCGAGGUCAAGCAAAUCCCAUAAAGUUGUUCUCAGUUCGGAUUGUAGUCUGCAACUCGACUACAUGAAGCUGGAAUCGCUAGUAAUCGUAGAUCAGCAUGCUACGGUGAAUACGUUCCCGGGUCU